UUUUUGCAGGUAAUCUUGGUGUGAGCUCAAGGUAAAAGGCAAAGCCUGAAGAUAGGCAAUCAUCAUUAGCUAGAACUGGAAACAUCAAAAUUGGUGCCCCGGUCAUCUCUGCCCCUAGUGGUGCUCCUGGAUGUACAUCAUUUCCUCACCUCCUUGGCUGCUUCAGUGCCCGUGGCAUUCGUCCUCGUCGGUGGGACGGUGCAAGGCACGACUCCGAUGCGGCGGCGUGGAUGUGCGGUGUAGGAAGUGGUUCCUCGCCGGCUGGACGGCGUUUAGGCGCAACCCCAGCGCCCACUGAGCACUGCCUCGGCUACAACCUCCCUCG